GAUGAACGCUGGCGGCGUGCUUAACACAUGCAAGUCGAACGGUGAAGGCGGAGCUUGCUCUGCUGGAUCAGUGGCGAACGGGUGAGUAACACGUGAGCAAUCUGCCCCUGACACUGGGAUAAGCGCUGGAAACGGCGUCUAAUACUGGAUACGAGCUGCGAAGGCAUCUUCAGCAGCUGGAAAGAACUUCGGUCAGGGAUGAGCUCGCGGCCUAUCAGCUUGUUGGUGAGGUAACGGCUCACCAAGGCGUCGACGGGUAGCCGGCCUGAGAGGGUGACCGGCCACACUGGGACUGAGACACGGCCCAGACUCCUACGGGAGGCAGCAGUGGGGAAUAUUGCACAAUGGGCGAAAGCCUGAUGCAGCAACGCCGCGUGAGGGACGACGGCCUUCGGGUUGUAAACCUCUUUUAGCAGGGAAGAAGCGAAAGUGACGGUACCUGCAGAAAAAGCGCCGGCUAACUACGUG
rnacentral:rRNA from 1 species